UACAGAGACCUCAAGCGUUAUCCGGAAUCAUUGGGCGUAAAGCGUACCGAUAGGUGGCUUUACAAGUCAGAAGUGAAAUCCUAAGGCUUAACUUUGGGACUGUCUUUUGAAACUGUAAAGCUAGAGGGGCAAAGAGGAAGCUGGAACGAACGGUGUAGUAGUGAAAUGCGUUGAUAUCGUUCGGAACACCAAUAGCGUAGGCAGGCUUCUGGGUGCCACCUGACACUGCUAGGACGAAAGCGUGGGUAGCGAUAAGG
rnacentral:rRNA from 1 species